AUGAUUGGAAGUUUAAAUAUUUAAUUAAAUUCUUGACUAGUUUAAUUAAUCAAAUCAAGGGUUUAAUUGGAGAAUUGAUAAAUUUUGAGACUUAAUUGAGCUUGGAAUUAAUUUUAUUAAUCCAAUUAAGGGUUUAAUUGGAGAAUUGAUGAGUUUUCAGACUUAAUUAAGCUUGGAAUUAAUUUAAUUAAUUAAAUCAAGGGUUUAAUUGAAGAAUUGAUAAGUUUUAGACUUAUUUGAGCUUGGAAUUAAUUUAUCCAGGGGCUUAAUUACAAAACGUUUAAAACGUCAAGGGCCACAACGCAAAUAAUCAUUAAACAUCAAACGGCGCCGUCUGUGGAUGCGCUGUUCAUCUUCUUCAACGGACGCCCACCGCCACCAUAACACCUGCAAUCAAUGGUUGGAAGAAACGGAUUGUUCUCUGGCUAUAAAAGCCAGAGAACGAAAGGUCACAGGGAGACGGCAGGAAAGAAAAACUGGGGAAAAACUGGGGGAAAGGAACCAAGAGAGGACGAAAAAAAGACAGGGGGAGGAGAAACAAAAAAAAAAAAACAGUGAAGAAUAACGCAAGCAGAACCCAGAGGAAAAACCCAGAAAACAGGGGGGGAAAGAGACGAAAAAAAAUCACAGAACCGGGGAAAGAAAGAAGAAAACAGAGGAGAGAGAGAGCACGAACGAAAACAGAGAGGGGGCCUAAAAAUAGAGAAACGGGGAGAGAGCAAAACGACAGCUUUCCUGCUUUGCCUUUGCUCUCAAAACGCAAGGAAGUGCAGAGAAGCUGCAAGUGUUGGUCAGCCUAAUUAUUCCUGUCCAGCUACACGCUCCAAACCAAGGGGGAGGAACAAAAAAAACAAAGAACAGAGACGGAGAGAAACAGAACCAGGGGAAACAGAGAAACAAAGAACGAUCCGAAAGAAAGAAAACGAAAAAGGAAACAGAAGGUUAUUGUCCAGCCAGCGCGCCUUCGCCAUCACCAUCGUCUUCGUCCCUUUCGUUUCCUGCACUGAGGUAAGCCCCGCUUCCUUUGCAAUUUAAUUCACUGCUACAGUAGCAGUGAAUUAUAAUUCCCUUGCUACUGUAGCAAGUGAAUUAUAAUUAUGCACGCCUGCCACUCAGCCGG
rnacentral:lncRNA from 1 species